rnacentral:rRNA from 1 species
GGAAUAUUGGUCAAUGGGCGUAGGCCUGAACCAGCCAAGUAGCGUGCAGGAUGACUGCCCUAUGGGUUGUAAACUGCUUUUAUGCGGGAAUAAAGUCAGGUACGCGUACCUGUUUGCAUGUACCGCAUGAAUAAGGACCGGCUAAUUCCGUGCCAGCAGCCGCGGUAAUACGGAAGGUCCGGGCGUUAUCCGGAUUUAUUGGGUUUAAAGGGAGCGCAGGCUGAUUAUUAAGCGUGACGUGAAAUGUAGCCGCUCAACGGCUGAACUGCGUCGCGAACUGGUAGUCUUGAGUGAGUUCGAUGUUGGCGGAAUUCGUGGUGUAGCGGUGAAAUGCUUAGAUAUCACGAAGAACUCCGAUUGCGAAGGCAGCCAACAAGGCCUUUACUGACGCUAAAGCUCGAAGGUGCGGGUAUCGAACA